AAAACAAACAAUUUGAAAACGAGUUUGGAAUUAAUUUCAUUUAUUUUUGUUUACAGAGGAGAUGACAAAAGCUCAUGUGAGCUAUAUGUACAGGACCUACAGAACAUAUAAGUCUACUGAGAAGCUCACAAACAACAUAGGAACCCAAUCCUUCAGGAGCUUUCUUCCUCAGACGCUUUGGUUGUGGUCAAAUUCCCUGAGAGGGAAGAACAUUCAAAACAAAUCGAUUGAUGAUGCUGCAGUUUGUCCAGGAGAGAUGCAAUUAUCCGGAACCACGGGCGAUUCCAACACGGCAUUCAAGAACUUCCUGCAUAGAAGUGUUUUCUUUGAGUGAAGUGAACUUUGAGUGCUUCAUUACCUUCAGCAGAACCUUUUCUUGGACUCAGUCUUACGAGAUAGGGCUGCUGUGGACUCCAAUCCGGAGGAAAAACGCAUCAUUGAACGUCUCGUCAUAUCGUCAAAGAAAAAAACAAAUACUGACAACCCAUUCACAAUUCUUCCUAUAUGCUUCCUAUUUUGAGCGGACACGUCAUAGGACAUUCUCAACAAGUGUCACGUGCUUCAUCGUGACACCUCCAUUGACCUUCGUAAAUUAUGUAUUUAUGAACAAUCUUGUGAAAAUGUUAAAAUAUGCAAAAAAAAAAACUACAAAAUGGCCAACAAAUAAACAAAAAAAUGUUACAA